UUAAGUUCAGCGGGUAGUCCUACCUGAUUUGAGAUCAAACAUUCAAAGGGCUGUCCUCACCGAGGAGAGACGUCUAUGAGCUCCAGUGAACCUCCACUGCUGAAGGUUUACCUGGUGGAAAAACCAUAAGCGUAGAUAUUUAUCACACUCAUGAUACCCACCAAACACCGGUAAGCUGAUUUAUUUCAGAGGAGCCGACC
rnacentral:misc_RNA from 1 species